GCUUGUUGAAAUAAUAUACUUCAAAUUUUUUUCUUUCUUUUUGGUAUUUUUGUUUGGUUUGAUUAUGGCCAUGAUGAUAUUUAGUUGUUGUGGGUUAGGGUGUGUAAAUAACUUAAUUACAAUUUUUUUUGGAUUAUGGUUUUGGUCAAAGGUGAAUUGGAGAUUGAAUUAAGAAUAAAAUAUUUUUGAGUUGGUUAGGUUAAAGAUGAGGCAUAGGAUUGAUAGUGACGUUGCUAGGGUUUAAGGCUUGAAUUGUUAUUGAUAUUGUUUAGUUUAAUAAGUUAAAGAGUAAUUGUGCAAAAAUU
rnacentral:lncRNA from 1 species